GCCAGGGUGGUGUAGUGGUUUGAGCAUUGGACUACAACUCUAGAGACCAGGGUUCAAUUCCCCACUUGGCCA